rnacentral:rRNA from 1 species
AGUGAGCGCUGGCGGCGUGCUUAACACAUGCAAGUCGAACGAGAACGGGAUCUAGCUUGCUAUAUUUGUCAGCUAAGUGGCGCACGGGUGAGUAAUGUAUAGAUAACCUGCCCUUAAGAAAGGAAUAACAGUUGGAAACGACUGCUAAUGCCCUAUAUGCCUUUAAUACAUAAGUAUGCAAGGGAAACGCUUUAGUGCUUAAGGAUGGGUCUGUAUGGUAUCAGCUUGUUGGUGAGGUAAUGGCUCACCAAGGCUAUGACGCCUAACUGGUUUGAGAGGAUGAUCAGUCACACUGGAACUGAGACACGGUCCAGACUCCUACGGGAGGCAGCAGUGGGGAAUAUUGCACAAUGGACGAAAGUCUGAUGCAGCAACGCCGCGUGGAGGAUGACACAUUUCGGUGCGUAAACUCCUUUUAUAUAGGAAGAUAAUGACGGUACUAUAUGAAUAAGCACCGGCUAACUCCGUGCCAGCCGCCGCCGUAAAAC